rnacentral:rRNA from 1 species
GACGAACGCUGGCGGCGUGCUUAACACAUGCAAGUCGAACGGAAAGGCCCUGCUUUUGUGGGGUGCUCGAGUGGCGAACGGGUGAGUAACACGUGAGUAACCUGCCCUUGACUUUGGGAUAACUUCAGGAAACUGGGGCUAAUACCGGAUAGGAGCUCCUGCUGCAUGGGGGGGGUUGGAACGUUUCGGCGGUUGGGGCUGGACUCGCGGCUUAUCAGCUUGUUGGUGGGGUAGUGGCUUACCAAGGCUUUGACGGGUAGCCGGCCUGUGAGGGUGACCGGCCACAUUGGGACUGAGAUACGGCCCAGACUCCUACGGGAGGCAGCAGUGGGGAAUAUUGCACAAUGGGCGGAAGCCUGAUGCAGCAACGCCGCGUGCGGGAUGACGGCCUUCGGGUUGUAAACCGCUGUCGCCUGUGACGAAGCGUGAGUGACGGUAAUGGGUAAAGAAGCACCGGCUAACUACGUG